CCCUUAGAUGUCCUGGGCCGCACGCGCGUUACACUGAUGCAUUCAACGAGCUUAUAACCUUGGCCGAGAGGCCUGGGCAAUCUUGUUAACGUGCAUCGUGAUAGGGAUAGAUUAUUGAAAUUAUUAAUCUUGAACGAGGAAUUCCUAGUAAACGCAGGUCAUCAAUCUGCAUUGAUUACGUCCCUGCCCUUUGUACACACCGCCCGUCGCACCUACCGAUUGGAUGGUCCGGUGAAGCCUCGGGAUUGUGGUUCUUGCCGCUUUAUUGUGGCGUGACCGCGAGAACUUGUCUAAACCUUAUCAUCUAGAGGAAGGUGAAGUCGUAACA
rnacentral:rRNA from 1 species